rnacentral:rRNA from 1 species
UACGUAGGGUGCGAGCGUUAAUCGGAAUUACUGGGCGUAAAGCGUGCGCAGGCGGUUCGUUAAGUUCGGUGUGAAAGCCCCGGGCUCAACCUGGGAACUGCAAUGGAAACUGGCGGGCUUGAGUAUGGCAGAGGGGGGUGGAAUUCCGCGUGUAGCAGUGAAAUGCGUAGAGAUGCGGAGGAACACCGAUGGCGAAGGCAGCCCCCUGGGCCAAUACUGACGCUCAGGCACGAAAGCGUGGGGAGCAAACAGG